UACGGGAGGCAGCAGUGAGGAAUAUUGGUCAAUGGGUGCAAGCCUGAUCCAGCCAUGCCGCGUGCAGGAUGACGGUCCUAUGGAUUGUAAACUGCUUUUGUACAGGAAGAAACACUCGGACGUGUCCGAGCUUGACGGUACUGUAAGAAUAAGGAUCGGCUAACUCCGUGCCAGCAGCCGCGGUAAUACGGAGGAUCCAAGCGUUAUCCGGAAUCAUUGGGUUUAAAGGGUCCGUAGGCGGCUUAAUAAGUCAGUGGUGAAAUCCCUUCGCUUAACGUAGGAACGGCCAUUGAUACUGUUAGGCUUGAAUUAUUAGGAAGUAACUAGAAUAUGUAGUGUAGCGGUGAAAUGCUUAGAGAUUACAUGGAAUACCAAUUGGGAAGGCAGGUUACUACUAAUGGAUUGACGCUGAUGGAAGAAAUGCGUGGGUAGCGAACAGGAUUAGAUACCUUGUUCGUCCACGCAGUAAACGAUGGAUACUAGCUGUUGGGAGCUCUCUCAGUGGGAACGGAAAGUGAUAA
rnacentral:rRNA from 1 species